GACCGGCGCACGGGUGAGUAACACGUAUGCAACCUUCCUACUACAGGAGAAUAACCCGUUGAAAGACGGCCUAAUGCUCCAUAAUACAGGGGUCCCUCCUGGGAAUAUUUGUUAAAGAAGCAAUUCGGUAGUAGAUGGGCAUGCGUAUGAUUAGCUAGUUGGUAAGGUAACGGCUUACCAAGGCAACGAUCAUUAGGGGUUCUGAGAGGAAGGUCCCCCACACUGGUACUGAGACACGGACCAGACUCCUACGGGAGGCAGCAGUGAGGAAUAUUGGUCAAUGGGCGCGAGCCUGAACCAGCCAAGUCGCGUGAAGGAUGAAGGUUCUAUGGAUUGUAAACUUCUUUUGUCGGGGAAUAAAGUGAGCCACGUGUGGUUUUUUGUAUGUACCCGACGAAUAAGGAUCGGCUAACUCCGUGCCAGCAGCCGCGGUAAUACGGAGGAUCCAAGCGUUAUCCGGAUUUAUUGGGUUUAAAGGGAGCGUAGGUUGACGUAUAAGUCAGCUGUGAAAGUUUACGGCUCAACCGUGAAAUUGCAGUUGAUACUGUAUGUCUUGAGUGUACAAGAGGUGGGCGGAAUUCGUGGUGUAGCGGUGAAAUGCUUAGAUAUCACGAAGAACUCCAAUUGCGAAGGCAGCUCACUGGGGUACAACUGACACUGAGGCUCGAAAGUGUGGGUAUCAAACAGGAUUAGAU
rnacentral:rRNA from 1 species